AUUGAACGCUGGCGGCAUGCUUUACACAUGCAAGUCGAACGGUAACAGGGAGCUUGCUCCGCUGACGAGUGGCGAACGGGUGAGUAAUGCAUCGGAACGUACCCAGUCGUGGGGGAUAACGUAGCGAAAGUUACGCUAAUACCGCAUACGUCCUGAGGGAGAAAGCGGGGGACCGUAAGGCCUCGCGCGAUUGGAGCGGCCGAUGUCGGAUUAGCUAGUUGGUAGGGUAAAGGCCUACCAAGGCGACGAUCCGUAGCGGGUCUGAGAGGAUGAUCCGCCACACUGGGACUGAGACACGGCCCAGACUCCUACGGGAGGCAGCAGUGGGGAAUUUUGGACAAUGGGCGAAAGCCUGAUCCAGCCAUGCCGCGUGAGUGAAGAAGGCCUUCGGUUGUAAGACUCUUCUAGCCGGAAGAAAUACGCGCAGGAUAAUACUCUGCGUGGAUGACGGUACCGGAAGAAGAAGACACCGGCUAACUACGUGCCAGCAGCCGCGGUAAACGU
rnacentral:rRNA from 1 species